rnacentral:rRNA from 1 species
GACGAACGCUGGCGGCGUGCUUAACACAUGCAAGUCGAACGGAAAGGCCCUGCUUUUGUGGGGUGCUCGAGUGGCGAACGGGUGAGUAACACGUGAGUAACCUGCCCUUGACUUUGGGAUGACUUCAGGAAACUGGGGCUAAUACCGGAUAGGAGCUCCUGCUGCAUGGUGGGGGUUGGAAAGUUUCGGCGGUUGGGGAUGGACUCGCGGCUUAUCAGCUUGUUGGUGGGGUAGUGGCUUACCAAGGCUUUGACGGGUAGCCGGCCUGAGAGGGUGACCGGCCACAUUGGGACUGAGAUACGGCCCAGACUCCUACGGGAGGCAGCAGUGGGGAAUAUUGCACAAUGGGCGGAAGCCUGAUGCAGCAACGCCGCGUGCGGGAUGACGGCCUUCCGGUUGUAAACCGCUUUCGCCUGUGACGAAGCGUGAGUGACGGUAAUGGGUAAAGAAGCACCGGCUAACUACGUG